UGUGGCCCCAUCUACGCUGCCAUAUAAUCCAAUUUCCGAAUCCAGAUUAUCUGAUUUGAAUUGGAUUAUAUGGCAGUGCAGACUCAUAUAAUCCAGUUUAAAUCUGAUAAUCUGGAUUCAGAAACUGGAUUAUAUGGUGGUAUAAAUCCAGCCUGUGUGUGAGAACAAUCAUAUAAAUGCAAAAAAAAUGUUGAUAUGGUGAUGACAUGACAGGUUCAGUUUUAAUUGUAGCCAUUGGGGGACAAAAACAGAACUUUCCCACCAGAUAUGGAGAUGAAUACUUUCCUUCAAUGCACAUCUCUAUAACGAUGAUGUCUAGCAGUUAUGGAGAAACUUAAACCCAGCAGAAGCAAGGGUAGCUGGCAGAUCCACCACAACAAGGGCAGGGAAUCUAGUUUUGAUUUUAUUGUCAUUCCUCACACAGUUAUUCUGAGUUGAGUGGAAGCUCUCCAGAUUAUUUGAGAGGUUCAGCACUAGUGGAGGUUCUUGUGUGUUUUCUGGGCUGCAUGGCCAUGUUCCAGAACUAUUCUCUCCUGACGUUUCCAUGUUCCAGAAGAAUACUUCUGGAACAUGGCCAUACAGC
rnacentral:lncRNA from 11 species